UACGUAGGGGGCAAGCGUUGUCCGGAAUCAUUGGGCGUAAAGAGCGUGUAGGCGGCCCGGUAAGUCCGCUGUGAAAGUCCAGGGCUCAACCCUGGGAUGCCGGUGGAUACUGUCGGGCUCGAGUCCGGAAGAGGAGUGUGGAAUUCCUGGUGUAGCGGUGAAAUGCGCAGAUAUCAGGAGGAACACCGGUGGUGUAGACGGCUCUCUGGACAGUAACUGACGCUGAGACACGAAAGCGUGGGUAGCAAACAGG
rnacentral:rRNA from 1 species